AGAUAUGAUCCAGAGUACCACGGGACACGUGAAACCCUGUGGGAAGCAGGAGGGACCACCCUCCAAGGCUAAAUACUACCUAGUGACCGAUAGCGUAUAGUACCGUGAGGGAAAGGUGAAAAGAACCCCGGGAGGGGAGUGAAAUAGAACCUGAAACCCUGCACUUACAAGCUGUGGAAGCACAUUUCUUGUGUGACCGCGUACUUUUUGUAGAACGGGCCAACGAGUUACGUUAAGUAGCAAGGUUAAGCACUUAAGGUGCGGAGCCGUAGCGAAAGCGAGUUUUAACUGAGCGUUCAGUUACUUGACGUAGACCCGAAACCGGGCGACCUACCCAUGAGCAGGAUGAAGCGAAAGUAAAAUUUCGUGGAGGUCCGAACCCACGAGCGUUGAAAAGCUCGGGGAUGACUUGUGGGUAGCGGUGAAAUUCCAAUCGAGCCCGGAGAUAGCUGGUUCUCCCCGAAAUAGCUUUAGGGCUAGCCUCAAGGUGAGAGAUACGGAGGUAGAGCACUGAAUGUCCUAGGGGGUAUUGCACCUACCGAAGACUAUCAAACUCCGAAUGCCGUCAUCUUAUACUUGGGAGUCAGACUGUGGGUGAUAAGAUUCAUAGUCGAAAGGGCAACAGCCCAGAUCGUCAGCUAAGGUCCCUAAAUGUAAGUUAAG
rnacentral:rRNA from 1 species